ensembl:lincRNA
AUUUUCUCAGAACUGUGAGCUCUGCCAGGAGCAUGUUAUCUGGUCUGCUGAGUAAAUACUGGGUCACUAUAUACGUGACCAUUGCUGAGUCAAGAUGUAAUGUCUCACAAGCAAUGUGUUUGUUUUAACAGGGUUCGUCUUCAAGGUGUGAUUUUGGCAGAAAAAAUAAGGCAAGAAGGCCAACUGCCUACCGUCCCCGGGCUUUGAACGCUCCUGUGGGAGUUCAAGUAUCGUCCCAGGGCAGGCUGCAGGAAGAGCUCCCAGAAGCAUAAAUAGAGCACACGCCGAUAAUUGCCACCCGAAUAGUAAACAGACAAUACAGGGAUUAUUUCCUGACUUCCUAUGAUGUGAAAAGGAAAGGUGGAAGUUUUUGAGGACUUGGAAUAACAGGAACUUAACCAUUAAUUUUGGAGAAGGCAAUGGCACCCCAGUCCAGCACUCUUGCCUGGAAAAUCCCAUAGACGGAGGAGCCUGGGAGGCUGCAGCCUAUGAGGUCGCUAAGAUUCGGACUCGACUGAGCGACUUCACUUUCACUUUUCACUUUCAUGCAUUGGAGAAGGAAAUGGCAACCCACUCCAGUGUUCUUGCCUGGAGAAUCCCAGGGACGGGGGAGCCUGGUGGGCUGCCAUCUAUGGGGUCGCACAGAGUCGGAUACGACUGAAGUGACUUAGCAGCAGCAGCAGCAGCAACCAUUAAUUUAACAGGGCAUUUUAAUAUAAAAGUCAUUUAUAUACUAUAUAGUCAUACAUACAAAUUUAAGAAUUUAUUUCUGGACAGUGUCUUCAAAUAGCCUUCAAGAGGCACUACGGCACAGCAGUCUUGAGCAGUGGUUCUGAAUAAGACUGAUUCGGAUGGAACCUCAGCUCCAUCAUCUACAGAGGUGUGACCUUGAUCUCUGUGCCUCUGUUUAUUAUCUGUGGUGUUAGGAUAACACUGUUUGCUUUCUAGGUUGUUGAGAGGAUUAUGUAAGUUAAUACAUUUGAGCAACUAGGACAGUGCCUGGUACGUGGCAAAAACGUAGUAACUGUGGACUGAGGAGGAUCGUUGCCAUAACCUCCAGCAUUCAGGUCUCCCUAGCAAGGGCUUAGAACACACACGUCUAGAAGACAAUGAGGUUGGUUCCAGAGACACAGGCUGUUAGUCAACCCAGCUGAAACCAGCUUAGGCAAGGGGAAGUGACUGCCAUCAGCGCCCAAAUCAUGUCAAAGGUUUCUCUCCACCCCCCAACUCUGCCUCUCGUCUGCUCCCUCUUUCCUAGUUCUAGCAGUGGCCCGAAAGCUACACUGAUUUCAGAGUUUUCAUCAUUUUAGAAUAAACCCAGUGGAACACAAGCAAGCUGUAAAAGGCAUUUCCCACAACGAAUCUGCAUUUCACUGGUUAAGCAGUAUUGGUCACAUCCUAUCCUUGACCCAACCCCUAUGGCCAGGGGUGGAUGGCUGCCUUAAAGUGGUUUAGAGACUGAGGCUGAAGGAAGGGCAGAGGCUGACAUGAAAUUUAGGGCUGGUGAAGAAGGGAGGCUGGAUGUUGGCAAAACAAGUACCAAAUAUCCAUCAAAAGCCAAUGCAUCUUGGACAAUUGCCUAAAAUACCCUUGAUGUGAUUAAUGUGUUGAACUAAUUACAAGAAAAUUGUAUAGUAUGGAAGCACAGAUUUUAUUAUGGGCAAGUACUAGGAGAUGAUGUGCUUUGAGUUAUCAUGAUGCUGUUAAUGUCAGGCAUCUAGGCUAGUGAGUUCCUUAUGUUUGUUUGGAUGAGGUAAUAAUUGAGGGUAUGACCCAUCUUCAUUUUUUGCAUUGCAAAAUAUGGCUUCACGUUAGUGACAGAAUUGAAAGGCUAAUUUAGAUGAACCUCUAUGAAUGCUUCUUGUCUAAAAAGCAACUAAUAUCUUUUAAUUGUUCUUUUCAUUUAAGUGUGAUAGA